GGUAAGCGGUCGCUUUUGUAUCUUGCAAAAGAGGAAAGUCCGAGCUGCGAUAAGACGAAGUUCCAUCUAACGGAUGGCUAGGGAAACCUAAGGGAUAGUGUAACAGAAAGCAAACUUCCGCCUUGGCGGUAAAGGUGAAACGGCGGGGUAAGAGCCCACCGGCGCGCUUGGUAACUUGCGUGGCCAUAUAAACCCAACUUGCAGUAAGAAGGGAUGGUUUUGGUCUUAUAUUAAAACCCUUCGCUAGAGCUUGUUUGUAAAAGCAAGCGUAGAUAAAUGAUCGCUCAAGACAGAACUCGGCUUAACGCCGUGC
rnacentral:RNase_P_RNA from 1 species